rnacentral:rRNA from 1 species
UACAGAGGUCCCAAGCGUUGUUCGGAUUUACUGGGCGUAAAGGGUGCGUAGGUGGUUGGGUAAGUCUGAUGUGAAAUCUCCGGGCUCAACCCGGAAAUGGCAUUGGAUACUAUUCGACUAGAGGGUUGGAGGGGGGACUGGAAUACUUGGUGUAGCAGUGAAAUGCGUAGAUAUCAAGUGGAACACCAGUGGCGAAGGCGAGUCCCUGGACAACUCCUGACACUGAGGCACAGAAGCGUAGGGAGCAAACAGG